ACUGAACAACUAAAGACCAGUUGGGACUCCUAGACUGGCCCUUGAAGGUGUCACUGGUGAGUGGCAUGGGAACCUUGCCAAAUGCCCUGCUUCACCCAGUGCCCUGUUCUCUUCCAGUGGCCAAUUACCAGGUGGCCUUCAGCUGGAUUUCUUGGACCAGUGCCUUCCAUCAACAAAGACUGGGAUUAAAUACCUCCAAACUGAACUCGAGGAAGGUCCUCCAGUAACCAUACUUUAUGAUACUAUUACAAACCAUAAAUGAUACGGGAAGUGCUGCUUUCAAGUGACAAGUGAUACUGAUUUCCCACCUAUCAACAUUUGCUAUGACUGCUGACACUACAGUGGGGUAUGCGCAGUGUGGGGGUGCCCCCAAGACACAGCAUCAGCAGCUAAGGUCAGCCUAGGCAGAGACCACAGUAACAAUGGGUGUGAACAGCAGAGGGCUGUUUUGAUGGCUCUGACUCUUGCUUAGUACCAUAGGGCCUCAGGGCCUCAGCAUCAUGUUGUGUCCUUUGAACCCUGCACAGUGUCCUCUGGCAGAGGUGGAGGUAUUCAAAGAGUGUCAGGAUUCAGUUUUUCUCCUUAUCAUGGCUGUGCUUUCAUUACACUCAUUUUAUUUUCUCUAACUGGAACCUAGACCUGCAGGCCCAGGCUUACCUCCUCCUCCAGGCUCCUUGGCAAUUGAUCUCAUUUAGCAGAUGAGGCCAAGGAAUGAGUCUCACUGGACUCACUUGGAUUCUGUGCCCAUCUAUAACCGCGGAGGCAUUAUAACCACAGGAUGGAAUACACACAGCCAGGUUGGGGUCACUUACCCGUGUCUGAAAAAGGUCACGGCAGACAUCUUUAGUGCCCACCCUCUCCCCAGUACAUACCCAUGCCACAUGGAGAGAGGAGAUUCCCCAAAAGAAAAUUAAUGUUGUUAACAAAGAGGAAAUGGACGUUGAAUACGUAAAAACCAUAGAUGACCCAUGCCCCACAGCCCUCCAUUCCCCAAAUGCACACAGACAUAUCCCAAAGGACCUGACUACCUCUUUGGCUCCUCUGCCAGUAGCCUCAGAAUAAGAAGCUUGCUGACUGCUGUGAGGUUUUAAGUAAAUGAACCAGCCGGCACCUCUUUUGGCUUUAGAAGCCACUGGGAAGACCCUGGGUAAUGUUUAACAAACCACUUGUAAACAAAGAAUAUCUAAAACCUAGUUGUAGUCAAUAUCUUUUCCUAAAUCAAUAUACAUCUGCCUGCACAUGCCCCUAACCCCACAUUCAUUGUUAAGCCCUGUGUUAUUAUGUAAUCAAUUCAACUUAAGAGUCUGUGGAAAUUUGUUGUUGCAUAUACAUUCAUUCAACUUGAGAAAGAAAUGUGACCUAUGAAUAAUCACAUUUCAGUAUCCAAGGGACAUAGGUCCCAGCUUCAUUUUCAAACUCCAAUAAGUUGUUCUUAAUCUUUUCAGAGAUAGCACAGAGUUUAUAUUUUGUGUACUGAAAGUAGCAUUCCACUUCAGCCUUUUUAUUCACACACAAGAACUUUUCUUACAGUUGCCCAUAAAAACAUUUCAGAUAUUAUUUUCAUUCUAUAUUUUAUGGAAGAAUUUCUUAGAUAUCACAGAAAAGUAGACUUAAAACCCUGGAAGAGACUUUAGAGUUAAGAUGAAACAGCCCUUUCCAUUCCAGGGAUGAAAAAAUGAAAGCUCAGCAGGGAGGGUGAUGAAAAGCGUAGAUGAGUUCAAGUGUGUGGUGAGGGAAGGAGACUGAACUUUGAGUGGUGAGCAGGCGGUGGGCUAUAGAGAUGUCUAGAGAUGUCUUGUUAUAAAGUUGUACACCUGAAACUUACAUAAUGUCAUUAACAAUGUUACUCCAGUGAACUUAAUUGAUUUUUUUCAAAAAGAAAUAAAAGCCCAGAGAUUGACUUGUCUACAAGUCACACAGCUGUUUUUAGCAUCUGUGAUGUGCUAGACAUUUUGAAAAG